rnacentral:lncRNA from 1 species
GUGGCAUCACGGCCCCACCUGGCAAUUUUUCUCAACUUGGUGGCAUCACGGCCCCACCUAGCAAUUUUCUCAACUUGGUGGCAUCACGGCCCCACCUGGCAAUCUUUAAUCCAACUCACAACCUCACACAGUUACUUUCCCUCCAAGUACCGACAUUUUCCCAAUUUUGGGACAAAUUCUCAUAUUCACCAAUUUCACUAAAAUUUCAUAAUCUGAUUCUCGAAUAAAUAAACUGAAAGCACCAUUGGAAUCAGCACAAAAUUUCGGUCGUCGGCUAUCCCAGCCUAAUUUCCGGAAAAUAAUUAAUUAAUUAAUUAAUUA